AAAUUGUGGUGAUGAAUUGUGAACAAACUUCGCAUGUCAGACUUCGGAGAUGCUUCUGGCAUCCAUGAGAAGAUCAUUCAUAAUACUGAGCAAUGC
rnacentral:snoRNA from 1 species